AUGAUGGAUGGCGGCAGUGGCUUGAAUAUUCUAUAUGAUGAGGCUCUCAAAAGAAUGGGCAUUCCGAUGUCCAAACUCAGCGAGAGCAACAUGCGGUUCCAUGGGAUCAUCCCAAGAAAGAAAGCCAAAUCACUCGGCCAGAUCACUCUUGACGUGGUUUUCGGCGAUGAAAAGAAUUUCGGCAAGGAAAACUUGACGUUUGAAGUUGUGGAUUUCCAGAGUGCUUAUCAUGCCAUUCUGGGAAGACCUGCUUAUGCUAGCUUUAUGGAUCGGCCGUGCUAUGUAUAUCUCAAGAUGAAGAUGCCCGGCCCCAGAGGCGUAAUAACAGUUUCCUGUAACCGUCAAAGAGCAGAAGACUGUCUUCAGGAUGGAGCAAAGAUAGCAGAUGAGCAGAUGGCGGCAGUAGAGUUUCAAGAGUACUAG
rnacentral:rRNA from 1 species